AUACAUGCAAGUCGGACGGGAUCCAUUGAUAGCUUGCUAUCAAUGGUGAGAGUGGCGCACGGGUGCGUAACGCGUGAGCAACCUACCUCCAUCAGGGGGAUAGCCUCUCGAAAGAGAGAUUAACACCGCAUAAUAUCAACAGUUCGCAUGUUCAGUUGAUUAAAUAUUUAUAGGAUGGAGAUGGGCUCGCGUGACAUUAGCUAGUUGGUAGGGUAACGGCUUACCAAGGCGACGAUGUCUAGGGGCUCUGAGAGGAGAAUCCCCCACACUGGUACUGAGACACGGACCAGACUCCUACGGGAGGCAGCAGUAAGGAAUAUUGGUCAAUGGGCGGAAGCCUGAACCAGCCAUGCCGCGUGCAGGAUGACUGCCCUAUGGGUUGUAAACUGCUUUUGUCCAGGAAUAAACCUCCAUACGAGUAUAGCUGAAUGUACUGGAAGAAUAAGGAUCGGCUAACUCCGUGCCAGCAGCCGCGGUAAUACGGAGGAUCCGAGCGUUAUCCGGAUUUAUUGGGUUUAAAGGGUGCGUAGGCGGCCUGUUAAGUCAGGGGUGAAAUACGGUGGCUCAACCAUCGCAGUGCCUUUGAUACUGAUGGGCUUGAAUCCAUUUGAAGUGGGCGGAAUAAGACAAGUAGCGGUGAAAUGCAUAGAUAUGUCUUAGAACUCCGAUUGCGAAGGCAGCUCACUAAGCUGGUAUUGACGCUGAUGCACGAAA
rnacentral:rRNA from 1 species